AACGAACGCUGGCGGCAUGCCUAACACAUGCAAGUCGAACGAGACCUUCGGGUCUAGUGGCGCACGGGUGCGUAACGCGUGGGAACCUGCCCUUAGGUUCGGAAUAACUGCCCGAAAGGGUUACUAAUACCGGAUAAUGUCUUCGGACCAAAGAUUUAUCGGCUUUGGCUGGGCCCGCGUUGGAUUAGCUAGUUGGUAGGGUAAAAGCCUACCAAGGCGACGAUCCAUAGCUGGUCUGAGAGGAUGAUCAGCCACACUGGGACUGAGACACGGCCCAGACUCCUACGGGAGGCAGCAGUGGGGAAUAUUAGAGAGUGGGCGAAAGCCUGAGCCAGCAAUGCCGCGUGAGUGAUGAAGGCCUUAGGGUUGUAAAGCUCUUUUACCCGGGAUGAUAAUGACAGUACCGGGAGAAUAAGCCCCGGCUAACUCCGUG
rnacentral:rRNA from 1 species